rnacentral:misc_RNA from 1 species
CCGGUGAGAUACCUUUAUAGGAGUCAGCCGUCUAAGGUAGGACAGAUGAUUAGGGUGAAGUCGUAACAAGGUAGCCGUAGGAGAACCUGCGGCUGGAUCACCUCCUUUCUAAGGAAGGCGAAAAUGAUGGAGAGUGCGAGAGCACUAAGAAGUCAUGAGAAAGCCAAACGGAAGCACACUUGAGAAACUUUGUUUAGUUUUGAGGGUAAUACCUCAAGAGUUAGUACAUUGAAAACUGAAUAUAAUCUAGCAAAAAACCGAGACAAUCGUAAAACAGAUUGCAAGAGCGACCGAGAGAGAAAAAACUCAAAAAAAACUUGAAAUAGGUCAGGUAAAAAAGGGCGCAGGGGGAAGGCCUAGGCCCUAAAAGCCAAUAAAGGACGUGACUAACCCCAAAAGGUUUCGGGAAGCGGUAAGUACCCAAAGAUCCGAAAAUUUCCAAAGGGGGAAACCCAUUACGUGAAAACGUUUUAUCAUUUACGGUUAAGGUAAUUGAAGGAAAACCCAUGGAACUGAACCUUC